CCUUAUGGUGGCUGUGCGCGGGAUACCCUCGGGUAUGCCGGGUCCAUUGGUAACCGGUCCGCGAACCUGCGCACAGCUGCCACCCUC
rfam:Pseudomonas fluorescens SBW25 complete genome